rnacentral:rRNA from 1 species
CCUACGGGGGGCAGCAGUGAGGAAUAUUGGUCAAUGGCCGGAAGGCUGAACCAGCCAUGCCGCGUGAAGGUCAGUGCCCUAUGGGCGUUAAACUUCUUUUGUGCGGGAGCAAUAAUGGUCACGUGUGGCCAGACGAGAGUACCGUACGACUAAGCAUCGGCUAACUCCGUGCCAGCAGCCGCGGUAAUACGGGGGAUGCAAGCGUUAUCCGGAUUUAUUGGGUUUAAAGGGUGCGUAGGCUGGGAGGUAAGUCAGCGGUGAAAUGCCCCCGCUCAACGGGGUGAAGUGCCAUUGAUACUGCCUGGCUGGAAUGCGGAUGCCGUGGGAGGAAUGUGUGGUGUAGCGGUGAAAUGCAUAGAUAUCACACAGAACACCGAUUGCGAAGGCAUCUCACGAAACCGCGAUUGACGCUGAUGCACGAAAGCGUGGGUAUCAAACAGGAUUAGAUACCCCAGUAGUC